AUGAAAGAACACUAUGAUUUUCACAACGUGAGUGGAAUUGACCGCUCCGAGAGAUCACUUCGAUCCCGGUGGUCGACAAUCAACUCGGAUUGUCAAAGGUGGGCGGUCUGUCAAAAGGCGGUUGACAAGUUGAACCCAAGUGGCACAAAUGAGGACGAUAGAGUAAGUGGCAUUUCAUACAUGUUCAUCAUACUUGUUGUUGGUGUUCGAAGUGCUAACUUGCUUUGUUUUCAUGUAGUACCACAUUGCACAAAACUUGUUCAAAGAAGAGGAGAGGAAAACCAAGAAGGGGAAGAUCAAGAAAGGAAGGGUCUUUACCUUGCCUCAUUGCUAUAA
rnacentral:rRNA from 1 species